AGCGAACGCUGGCGGCAGGCCUAACACAUGCAAGUCGAACGAUCCUUCGGGAUAGUGGCGGACGGGUGAGUAACACGUGGGAACGUACCUUUAGGUUCGGGAUAACUCAGGGAAACUUGAGCUAAUACCGGAUAAGCCCUUAUGGGGAAAGAUUUAUCGCCUUUAGAGCGGCCCGCGUUAGAUUAGCUAGUUGGUGAGGU
rnacentral:rRNA from 1 species